CCUACGGGAGGCAGCAGUAGGGAAUCUUCCACAAUGGGCGAAAGCCUGAUGGAGCAACGCCGCGUGGGUGAAGAAGGUCUUCGGAUCGUAAAACUCUGUUGAUAGAGAAGAAAGUGCGUGAGAGUAACUGUUCACGUUUCGACGGUAUCUAACCAGAAAGCCACGGCUAACUACGUGCCAGCAGCCGCGGUAAUACGUAGGUGGCAAGCGUUAUCCGGAAUUAGUGGGCGUAAAGGGAACGCAGGCGGGCGUUUAAGUCUGAUGUGAAAGCCUUCGGCUUAACCGGAAUAGUGUAUUGGAGACUGGGAGACUGGAGGGCAGAAGAGGAGAGUGGAACUCCAUGUGAAGCGGUGAAAUGCGGAGAUAUAUGGAAGAACACCAGUGGCGAAAGCGGCUCACUGGUCUGUAACUGACGCUGAGGUUCGAAAGCGUGGGUAGCAAACAGGAUUAGAGACCCUAGUAGUC
rnacentral:rRNA from 1 species